rnacentral:rRNA from 1 species
GACAACUCUCAACAACGGAUAUCUUGGCUCCCGUAACGAUGAAGAACGCAGCGAAAUGCGAUACGUAGUGUGAAUUGCAGAAUUCCGUGAACCAUCGAAUCUUUGAACGCAAAUUGCGCUCGAGGCCUCGGCCUAGAGCGUGUCUGCCUCAGCGUCGG